rnacentral:rRNA from 1 species
UACGGAGGGUGCAAGCGUUACUCGGAAUUACUGGGCGUAAAGCGUGCGUAGGCGGUUUGUUAAGUCUGUUGUGAAAUCCCCGAGCUCAACCUGGGAAUGGCAAUGGAUACUGGCAAGCUAGAGUGUGUCAGAGGAUGGUGGAAUUCCCGGUGUAGCGGUGAAAUGCGUAGAGAUCGGGAGGAACAUCCGUGGCGAAGGCGGCCAGCUGGACCAGCACUGACACUGAGGCACGAAAGCGUGAGGAGCAAACAGG